AACGAACGCUGGCGGCAUGCCUAACACAUGCAAGUCGAACGAGACCUUCGGGUCUAGUGGCGCACGGGUGCGUAACGCGUGGGAACCUGCCCUUAGGCUUGGAAUUACUCCCUGAAAGGGGGGCUAAUACCGGAUAAUUUCCUCUGACCAAAGAUUCAUCGUCUUUGGAUGGGCCCGGGUUGGAUUAGCUAGUUGGUAGGGUAAAAGCCUAUCAAGGCGACGAUCCAUAGCUGGGCAGAGAGGAUGGUCAGCCACACUGGGGGUGAGACACGGCCCAGACUACUAGGGGAGGCGGGAGAGAGGAAUAUAGGCAUAUGGGCUAAAGCAUGAAGCAGUUAUGCCGGGAGAGUGAUGAAGGCGUUAGGGUAGUAAAGCUCUUUUAGCCGGGAUGAUAAUGACGGUACCGGGAGAAUAAGCACCGGCUAACUCCGUG
rnacentral:rRNA from 1 species